rnacentral:rRNA from 1 species
GAAAGUAGGUAAGGGCGCAUGGCGGAUGCCUUGGCUCUCGGAGGCGAUGAAGGACGUGAUAAGCUGCGAUAAGCCGCGGGGAGGUGCAAAUGACCUUUGAUCCGCGGAUUUCCGAAUGGGACAACCCGGCAGUCUGAAGGACUGUCAUCCUGAUCAUUCAGGAGGCGAACGCGGGGAACUGAAACAUCUUAGUACCCGCAGGAAGAGAAAAUAAACAAUGAUUCCCCCAGUAGUGGCGAGCGAACGGGGAAGAGCCCAAACCGGCCAUGUUACGGCAUGGCCGGGGUUGUAGGACCGCGACGUUGCAUGAAAGCUGGCGAGCGGAACAGUCUGGAAAGGCUGUCCACAGAGUGUGACAGACACGUACGCGAAGCCAGCCGAAGCAUAGCGGUAUCCUGAGUAGCGCGGAGCACGAGGAAUUCUGCGUGAAUCUGCCGGGACCAUCCGGUAAGGCUAAAUACUCCCGAGAGACCGAUAGUGGACCAGUACCGUGAGGGAAAGGUGAAAAGCACUUCGAACAGAAGAGUGAAACAGUACCUGAAACCGUGCGCCUACAAGCGGUCGGAGCAUAUUUAUAUGUGACGGCGUGCCUUUUGCAUAAUGAACCUACGAGUUACCGUCAUUGGCGAGGUUAAGCGCAAGGAUGCGCGGAGCCGAAGCGAAAGCGAGUCUGAAGAGGGCGCACAGUCAGUGGCGGUAGACGCGAAACCGAGUGAUCUACCCUUGGCCAGGUUGAAGUCUGGGUAACACCAGAUGGAGGACCGCACCAAUAAGCGUUGAAAAGCUUCUGGAUGAGCUGAGGGUAGGGGUGAAAGGCUAAUCAAACUCGGAGAUAGCUCGUACUCCCCGAAAUGCAUUUAGGUGCAGCCUCGGGAAUUGCCGGCAUGAGGUAGAGCGACUGAUAAGAUGCGAGGGCUUCGCCGCCUAUCAAGUCUUGACAAACUCCGAAUGCGUGCCGGUAUUAUCCCGGGAGUGAGGGCGCGGGUGCUAAGGUCCGCGCCCGAGAGGAGAAGAAUCCUGACCAUCGUCUAAGGCCCCGAAAUGACAGCUAAGUUAAACUAACGAAGUCUGGUUGCUAAGACAGCUAGGAUGUUGGCUUGGAAGCAGCCAUUCAUUUAAAGAGUGCGUAACAGCUCACUAGUCGAGGAACCGGGCGUGGAUAAUAAUCGGGUAUAAGUUGUCUGCCGAAGACAUGGGAUACUUUAGGUAUCGGUAGGGGAGCAUUCCGUUCAGCGUCGAAGGCGUACCGUGAGGUGCUCUGGAGCGUACGGAAAAGCAAAUGUAGGUAUAAGUAACGAUAAAGGGGGCGGGAAACCCCCUCGCCGAAAGACCAAGGUUUCCUGAUCAACGCUAAUCGGAUCAGGGUAAGUCGGGACCUAAGGCUCAGCCGAACGGCGAGGCCGAUGGCAGAAACGGUCAAGAUUCCGUUACUGCCCCAUAGGGCGACGUGGAGACGCGGGAGUGACACCGCCGCCGUCUGACGGAAUAGACGGUUUAAGGGUGUAGGCGUUGAUUCUUCCAGGCAAAUCCGGAAGAAGAGCCGAACCUGAAAGUACGGAGCGUCCUCCGGGACAAUCCGAGCGCGGGUAACCAUACCGCCGAGAAAAUCCGCUAAGCAUCACCUGUGGGGCACCCGUACCGUAAACGGACACACGUGGUCGGGUUGAAUAUACUGAGGCGCUUGGGUGAAUCACGGUUAAGGAACUAGGCAAACUGACCCUGUAACUUCGGGAAAAAGGGUCCCGUCUCGCAAGAGCGGGCGCAGAGAAUAGGUCCAGGCAACUGUUUAACAAAAACACAGGGCUGUGCGAAAUCGAAAGAUGAGGUAUACAGCCUGACACCUGCCCGGUGCCGGAAGGUUAAGAGGAGACGUCAUCGCGAGAGAAGCGUUGAAUUGAAGCCCCGGUAAACGGCGGCCGUAACUAUAACGGUCCUAAGGUAGCGAAAUUCCUUGUCGG